UGGGGAGUGGUCUAACGGUAAGACACAUGACUCUGGAUCAUGGGAUUGGGGUUCGAUUCCCUGCUCCCCAG
rnacentral:tRNA from 1 species